UAACCCUCGCCCAAGCGAUUUCAAAAGUCGUGGCCGGCGGACUUGGACUGUGCCGUAGUUGGCUCGUCCUGAAAUGCAUUAGCUUGCGCCAAUUAGAGUGCAUAUGGCAUGGUGUGAUAAUUAUCUGCGCCGUCGCCUCUGGCCUCUUAUGACUGCGCCGCUUACAGACGUCCACCCUGGACAACCAAUUUGAAG
rnacentral:misc_RNA from 1 species